CGGUGAAGUCGCGGUGUAAACCAGCGGUGGAGCCUACACGAGUGAGAAUGCAGGCAUGAGUAGCGAAAGACGGGUGAGAAACCCGUCCGCCGGAUGAUCAAGGGUUCCAGGGUCAAGCUAAUCUGCCCUGGGUAAGUCGGGACCUAAGGCGAGGCCGACAGGCGUAGUCGAUGGACAACGGGUUGAUAUUCCCGUACCGGCGAAAAACCGCCCAUGUUGAACAGGGGAUACUAACCGCCCGAGACCUGCCCGACCGUCCUUUGGAUGGAAGGGUUUUGGUGGAGCGCGGGACCUGAUCCUGGGAGGCAAGCGUAUUAACAGGUGUGACGCAGGAAGGUAGCCGAGCCGGGCGAUGGUUGUCCCGGUCCAAGGAUGUAGGGCGAACGGUAGGCAAAUCCGCUGUUCAUGUGCCUGAGAUCUGACGGGACUCCCGUAAAGGGGGGAUUCGGUGAUCCUAUGCUGCCUAGAAAAGCAUCGGCGCGAGGUUUUAGCCGCCCGUACCCCAAACCGACACAGGUGAUCAGGUAGAGAAUACUAAGGCGAUCGAGAGAAUUAUGGUUAAGGAACUCGGCAAAAUGCCCCCGUAACUUCGGGAGAAGGGGGGCCCCAACCUUGAACACCACUUGCUGGUGGGAGGGGAUCGGGGCCGCAGAGACCAGGGGGAAGCGACUGUUUACUAAAAACACAGGUCCGUGCGAAGUCGCAAGACGAUGUAUACGGACUGACUCCUGCCCGGUGCUGGAAGGUUAAGAGGACCGGUUAGCCGCAAGGCGAAGCUGAGAAUUUAAGCCCCAGUAAACGGCGGUGGUAACUAUAACCAUCCUAAGGUAGCGAAAUUCCUUGUCGGGUAAGUUCCGACCUGCACGAAUGGAGUAACGACUUCCCCGCUGUCUCAACCAUAAACUCGGCGAAAUUGCAGUACGAGUAAAGAUGCUCGUUACGCGCAGCAGGACGGAAAGACCCCGAGACCUUUACUAUAGUUUGGUAUUGGUGUUCGGAGUGGCUUGUGUAGGAUAGGUGGGAGACGUUGAAGCCCGGACGCCAGUUCGGGUGGAGUCAUCGUUGAAAUACCACUCUGGUCACUUUGGACAUCUAACUUCGGCCCGUAAUCCGGGUCAGGGACAGUGCCUGAUGGGUAGUUUAACUGGGGCGGUUGCCUCCUAAAAAGUAACGGAGGCGCCCAAAGGUUCCCUCAGCCUGGUUGGCAAUCAGGUGUCGAGUGUAAGUGCACAAGGGAGCUUGACUGUGAGAGAGACAUCUCGAGCAGGGACGAAAGUCGGGACUAGUGAUCCGGCGGUACAUUGUGGAAUGGCCGUCGCUCAACGGAUAAAAGGUACCUCGGGGAUAACAGGCUGAUCUUGCCCAAGAGUCCAUAUCGACGGCAUGGUUUGGCACCUCGAUGUCGGCUCGUCGCAUCCUGGGGCUGGAGUAGGUCCCAAGGGUUGGGCUGUUCGCCCAUUAAAGCGGUACGCGAGCUGGGUUUAGAACGUCGUGAGACAGUUCGGUCCCUAUCCGCUGCGCGCGCAGGAAAUUUGAGAAGGGCUGUCCUUAGUACGAGAGGACCGGGACGGACGAACCUCUGGUGUGUCAGUUGUACUGCCAAGUGCACCGCUGAUUAGCUACGUUCGGAUGGGAUAACCGCUGAAAGCAUCUAAGCGGGAAGCUCGCUUCGAGAUGAGAUUUCCAUACACCUUGUGUGUGAGAGGCCCCCAGCCAGACCACUGGGUUGAUAGGCCGGAUGUGGAAGCGAGGACUAACGACUCGUGAAGCUGACCGGUACUAAUAGGCCGAUAACUUACACCAC
rnacentral:rRNA from 1 species